UGGAUGGCUAGGAUUAAGGGAUUAGGGUUGAUUUGGUCUUUGGAAGGUUGGCUAGAUUUGGAUGAUUUGGAAAUGGAUAUGGAAGGUUUGCAAGAUGGAGAGAAUCUUUGAGGGAAGAGGGUAAUUCAAAUUUGGACUAGGAUGACAAGUCAAUAGUUGACUAGAGAGAUUUUAGGAAGAGUGAUUUAAGGGAUUGAAUGUGAUUGUCAAUUCCUUAAAUUAA